AUUCCAGCUCCAAUAGCGUAUACUAAAGUUGUUGCAGUUAGAAAGCUCGUAGUUGAAUUUCUGGAUGUGAAAGGUGGUCGGCACCUCACGGUGUCUGUACUUAUCAUUCGCGUCCAUCCUCGGGAGGAACAUGUGGACACUUAAGUGGGUCUGCUUGGGAAUCUCGUCAUUUACUGUGAGCAAAAUAGAGUGUUCAAAGCAGGCUUAUGACGUUGAAUAUAUUAGCAUGGAAUAAUAAGAUACGACUUUGGUCUAUUUUGUUGGUUUACAUUCCAAAGUAAUGAUUAAUAGGGAUAGUUGGGGGUAUUCGUAUUCAAUUGUCAGAGGUGAAAUUCUUGGAUUUAUGGAAGACGAACUACUGCGAGAGCAUUUACCAAGGAUGUUUUCAUUA
rnacentral:rRNA from 1 species